UCGAACGAACUCUGGUAUUGAUUGGUGCUUGCAUCAUGAUUUACAUUUGAGUGAGUGGCGAACUGGUGAGUAACACGUGGGAAACCUGCCCAGAAGCGGGGGAUAACACCUGGAAACAGAUGCUAAUACCGCAUAACAACUUGGACCGCAUGGUCCGAGUUUGAAAGAUGGCUUCGGCUAUCACUUUUGGAUGGUCCCGCGGCGUAUUAGCUAGAUGGUGGGGUAACGGCUCACCAUGGCAAUGAUACGUAGCCGACCUGAGAGGGUAAUCGGCCACAUUGGGACUGAGACACGGCCCAAACUCCUACGGGAGGCAGCAGUAGGGAAUCUUCCACAAUGGACGAAAGUCUGAUGGAGCAACGCCGCGUGAGUGAAGAAGGGUUUCGGCUCGUAAAACUCUGUUGUUAAAGAAGAACAUAUCUGAGAGUAACUGUUCAGGUAUUGACGGUAUUUAACCAGAAAGCCACGGCUAACUACGUGCCAGCAGCCGCGGUAAUACGUAGGUGGCAAGCGUUGUCCGGAUUUAUUGGGCGUAAAGCGAGCGCAGGCGGUUUUUUAAGUCUGAUGUGAAAGCCUUCGGCUCAACCGAAGAAGUGCAUCGGAAACUGGGAAACUUGAGUGCAGAAGAGGACAGUGGAACUCCAUGUGUAGCGGUGAAAUGCGUAGAUAUAUGGAAGAACACCAGUGGCGAAGGCGGCUGUCUGGUCUGUAACUGACGCUGAGGCUCGAAAGUAUGGGUAGCAAACAGGAUUAGAUACCCUGGUAGUCCAUACCGUAAACGAUGAAUGCUAAGUGUUGGAGGGUUUCCGCCCUUCAGUGCUGCAGCUAACGCAUUAAGCAUUCCGCCUGGGGAGUACGGCCGCAAGGCUGAAACUCAAAGGAAUUGACGGGGGCCCGCACAAGCGGUGGAGCAUGUGGUUUAAUUCGAAGCUACGCGAAGAACCUUACCAGGUCUUGACAUACUAUGCAAAUCUAAGAGAUUAGACGUUCCCUUCGGGGACAUGGAUACAGGUGGUGCAUGGUUGUCGUCAGCUCGUGUCGUGAGAUGUUGGGUUAAGUCCCGCAACGAGCGCAACCCUUAUUAUCAGUUGCCAGCAUUAAGUUGGGCACUCUGGUGAGACUGCCGGUGACAAACCGGAGGAAGGUGGGGAUGACGUCAAAUCAUCAUGCCCCUUAUGACCUGGGCUACACACGUGCUACAAUGGAUGGUACAACGAGUUGCGAACUCGCGAGAGUAAGCUAAUCUCUUAAAGCCAUUCUCAGUUCGGAUUGUAGGCUGCAACUCGCCUACAUGAAGUCGGAAUCGCUAGUAAUCGCGGAUCAGCAUGCCGCGGUGAAUACGUUCCCGGGCCUUGUACACACCGCCCGUCACACCAUGAGAGUUUGUAACACCCAAAGUCGGUGGGGUAACCUUUUAGGAAC
rnacentral:rRNA from 2 species